GCUUUAAAUAUGGAAUGAGAUGUCUCAUUAACAAACCAGAUAACAAAUUAAUUGUAUGUUUCCAAAAAUUUUAGGGGCUUAACAAAACAUUGCCAUCAAUAUAAUUACAAAGUAUUUUUCUCUUUUCCUUUUCAUAAGAGAAACAAUAACAUCCAAUUGAUGGGAAAAUAACUUGAAACCAUAAAAUAUCUUAUUUGUAAUACUUGAAACCUUUCGAUAUCCCUUCCAUAAGCUUGAGCUCUUCAGCCAUGAAGUAGGUCUGCAUCAACAGGCAACGGCUCACGACCUGACCAAUCUUUAUACCGUGAAGGGAACACAAAA
rnacentral:lncRNA from 1 species